GACGAACGCUGGCGGCGUGCUUAACACAUGCAAGUCGAACGGAAAGGCCCCUUUUGGGGUACUCGAGUGGCGAACGGGUGAGUAACACGUGAGUAACCUGCCCUUGACUUCGGGAUAACUUCAGGAAACUGGGGCUAAUACCGGCUAGGAAUCCUUGCUGCAUGGUGGGGGUUGGAAAGCUUCGGCGGUUUUGGAUGGACUCGCGGCUUAUCAGCUUGUUGGUGGGGUAGUGGCUUACCAAGGCUUUGACGGGUAGCCGGCCUGAGAGGGCGACCGGCCACAUUGGGACUGAGAUACGGCCCAGACUCCUACGGGAGGCAGCAGUGGGGAAUAUUGCACAAUGGGCGGAAGCCUGAUGCAGCAACGCCGCGUGCGGGAUGACGGCCUUCGGGUUGUAAACCGCUUUCAGCAGGGGCGAAGCUUUUGUGACGGUACCUGCAGAAGAAGCACCGGCUAACUACGUG
rnacentral:rRNA from 1 species